rnacentral:rRNA from 1 species
GUUCCUGGCUCAGGAUGAACGCUAGCUACAGGCUUAACACAUGCAAGUCGAGGGGCAGCAUGGUCUUAGCUUGCUAAGGCCGAUGGCGACCGGCGCACGGGUGAGUAACACGUAUCCAACCUGCCGUCUACUCUUGGACAGCCUUCUGAAAGGAAGAUUAAUACAAGAUGGCAUCAUGAGUUCACAUGUUCACAUGAUUAAAGGUAUUCCGGUAGACGAUGGGGAUGCG